UACGUAGGGGGCUAGCGUUGUCCGGAAUCAUUGGGCGUAAAGCGCGCGUAGGCGGCCAGAUAAGUCCGGUGUGAAAGUCAAAGGCUCAACCUUUGAAUGCCGCUGGAAACUGUCUGGCUUGAGUCCGGAAGCGGCGAGUGGAAUUCCCGGUGUAGCGGUGAAAUGCGUAGAUAUCGGGAGGAACAUCGGUGGCGAAGGCGGCUCUCUGGACCACAACUGACGCUGAGGCUCGAAAGCUAGGGGAGCAAACAGG
rnacentral:rRNA from 1 species